rnacentral:lncRNA from 1 species
CACAGCUGAGGGAAAUCCCACGGUCAUCCUGCCCGUGCCCUUGGAGAGAAAAGAAAGAAAGAAAAGAAAAAGGAAAGAAAGAAAAGAAGGAAGAAGGCAGGGAGGAAGGGAAGGAAGGAAGGAAGGCAGGCAGGCAGAUCUUCAGGCCUCCAUCCCAGAUCUACUGAAUCAGAAACUCGGGGUGGGAGCCCAGCAAUCUGAAUCUGAUGCAUACUUGUUUGAGAACCACUGACUUGGUGAUAUAGAUGUUAAUACCAAGUGGGGCUAAGAUGUACACAUUUGGCCGCAUACAUGGAUAAAUAGCUUGAGAAUGAUGGGCAGAGGUGAGGGAUGCUAAUGGAUCUGUGAUGUCAGGGAAGUUUGUCUGAUAACGCGACAGUUUCCAGCAGAGAUCUAAAAGUGAGUAUCCAGAGGAAAGAGAAGAAGGUCAUGCCGUCUCCUCUUCAAGACUCUCCCUGUAGACUGUAGACUGCAUUCAUGACUCUGCUUACUUCUCACUGGCCACAACUUAGUUGUCCAUCCUCCAUAAAAAUGUCGUCUUCAUUCUGAUCAGCCAUACACGCAGCUAAAAAUUGAGAUUCCUAUUUCCAAUAGAAGAUGAAGAGAAAGCAUACUGGGACACAAUUAUCUCUGCCACAUGGUGGUUGAGUCCUUGAAAUGUGG